GUCCCCUUCGACUAGCGGUCAGGUCGCCAGGCUUUCACCUUGGUAACGGCGGUUCGAAUCCGCUAGGGGACG
rnacentral:tRNA from 1 species